rnacentral:rRNA from 1 species
AUGGCUCAGGAUGAACGCUAGCGACAGGCUUAACACAUGCAAGUCGAGGGGCAGCACAGGUAGCAAUACCGGGUGGCGACCGGCGCACGGGUGAGUAACGCGUAUGCAACUUACCUAUCAGAGGGGGAUAACCCGGCGAAAGUCGGACUAAUACCGCAUGAAGCAGGGGCCCCGCAUGGGGAUAUUUGCUAAAGAUUCAUCGCUGAUAGAUAGGCAUGCGUUCCAUUAGGCAGUUGGCGGGGUAACGGCCCACCAAACCGACGAUGGAUAGGGGUUCUGAGAGGAAGGUCCCCCACAUUGGUACUGAGACACGGACCAAACUCCUACGGGAGGCAGCAGUGAGGAAUAUUGGUCAAUGGCCGAGAGGCUGAACCAGCCAAGUCGCGUGAGGGAUGAAGGUUCUAUGGAUCGUAAACCUCUUUUAUAAGGGAAUAAAGUGCGGGACGUGUCCCGUUUUGUAUGUACCUUAUGAAUAAGGAUCGGCUAACUCCGUGCCAGCAGCCGCGGUAAUACGGAGGAUCCGAGCGUUAUCCGGAUUUAUUGGGUUUAAAGGGUGCGUAGGCGGCCUUUUAAGUCAGCGGUGAAAGUCUGUGGCUCAACCAUAGAAUUGCCGUUGAAACUGGGAGGCUUGAGUAUGUUUGAGGCAGGCGGAAUGCGUGGUGUAGCGGUGAAAUGCAUAGAUAUCACGCAGAACCCCGAUUGCGGAGGCAGCCUGCCAAGUCAUUACUGACGCUGAUGCACGAAAGCGUGGGGAUCAAACAGGAUUAGAUACCCUGGUAGUCCACGCAGUAAACGAUGAUCACUAGCUGUUUGCGAUACACUGUAAGCGGCACAGCGAAAGCGUUAAGUGAUCCACCUGGGGAGUACGCCGGCAACGGUGAAACUCAAAGGAAUUGACGGGGGCCCGCACAAGCGGAGGAACAUGUGGUUUAAUUCGAUGAUACGCGAGGAACCUUACCCGGGUUUGAACGCAUUCGGACCGAGGUGGAAACACCUUUUCUAGCAAUAGCCGUUUGCGAGGUGCUGCAUGGUUGUCGUCAGCUCGUGCCGUGAGGUGUCGGCUUAAGUGCCAUAACGAGCGCAACCCUUGCCACUAGUUACUAACAGGUAAAGCUGAGGACUCUGGUGGGACUGCCAGCGUAAGCUGCGAGGAAGGCGGGGAUGACGUCAAAUCAGCACGGCCCUUACAUCCGGGGCGACACACGUGUUACAAUGGCGUGGACAAAGGGAAGCCACCUGGCGACAGGGAGCGAAUCCCCAAACCACGUCUCAGUUCGGAUCGGAGUCUGCAACCCGACUCCGUGAAGCUGGAUUCGCUAGUAAUCGCGCAUCAGCCAUGGCGCGGUGAAUACGUUCCCGGGCCUUGUACACACCGCCCGUCAAGCCAUGGGAGCCGGGGGUACAAUGAAGUCCGUAACCGCGAGGAUCGGCCUAGGGUAA